rnacentral:rRNA from 1 species
UACGGGGGGGGCAAGCGUUGUUCGGAAUUACUGGGCGUAAAGGGCUCGUAGGCGGCCAACUAAGUCAGACGUGAAAUCCCCCGGCUUAACCGGGGAACUGCAUCUGAUACUGGAUGGCUUGAGAUUGGGAGAGGGAUGCGGAAUUCCAGGUGUAGCGGUGAAAUGCGUAGAUAUCUGGAGGAACACCGGUGGCGAAGGCGGCAUCCUGGACCAACACUGACGCUGAGGAGCGAAAGCCAGGGGAGCAAACGGG